UCCUGAGGCAAGACGGUAUGGACGGUAGAGACGAGUCAUGAUCCUCGUCCUGCCGCGUCACCGUUAUCCUCAUCC